rnacentral:rRNA from 1 species
CCUACGGGAGGCAGCAGUAGGGAAUCUUCCGCAAUGGACGAAAGUCUGACGGAGCAACGCCGCGUGAGCGAUGAAGGCCUUCGGGUCGUAAAGCUCUGUUGUUAGGGAAGAAUAAGUGCUAGUUGAAUAAGCUGGCACCUUGACGGUACCUAACCAGAAAGCCACGGCUAACUACGUGCCAGCAGCCGCGGUAAUACGUAGGUGGCAAGCGUUGUCCGGAAUUAUUGGGCGUAAAGCGCGCGCAGGCGGUUUCUUAAGUCUGAUGUGAAAGCCCCCGGCUCAACCGGGGAGGGUCAUUGGAAACUGGGAAACUUGAGUGCAGAAGAGGAAAGUGGAAUUCCAAGUGUAGCAGUGAAAUGCGUAGAGAUUUGGAGGAACACCAGUGGCGAAGGCGACUUUCUGGUCUGUAACUGACGCUGAGGCGCGAAAGCGUGGGGAGUAAACAGGAUUAGAUACCCUGGUAGUCCACGCCGUAAACGAUGGGUGCUAAGUGUUAGGGGGUUUCCGCCCCUUAGUGCUGCAGCUAACGCAUUAAGCACUCCGCCUGGGGAGUACGGCCGCAAGGCUGAAACUCAAAGGAAUUGACGG